ensembl:snoRNA
UACCAUUAUAUUAAAAAGUUAAUUUUUUUGGUUGGUGGUGCCUGUCUCAUAUCAGUGAGGGACAAAACAACUCCUUGUUUAUCCCAGCUUGGCUUUUGCUCUGUGCCCAUGCCUGGUUCAUGCCCUGGACACAUGG